CAGCAUAAUCAGAUAUAAUUGUGAUAAGUAAGCCAUGACUUGUACUGAGCCGAGCAGACAGGCAGCGAGAUCAGAAAGCAGGAGAUGCACCCGUCUUUCUGAUGGGCCAGAUUCAUCUUCCUGCUGCACAGCGUCAGCUUUCACCACGGUAGCAGUGCGUGUAUAUAAAGGGCCCUACGUGAUCUCCCUGCCUCACCCGUGUGCUUUGAAGGAUGGAUUUUUGGAAAACAGACAAAAUUUAGACAAAAACUCUUAACAGCCAGGCAGGGGUCUGCAGUGAAUCUGCAAGGUCGCUUCCCCAUCGUGCUAACAGGUAACCGUAGCAAUUAAAAUAAUGGAAUACUGCAUCUUUAAAGGACCUGGGAUGAAAAAAAUGUCAAGUUUAAGACGAUCACGCACUGCAUAGAAACACCAUUUACUACAGACUGAGGUAGGAACACUACACUAAAAGUUAAUUUUGCUAUGUUGCAUAAAACAGUAUAUAACCAUGUAAAAAUCUAUCCUUUUUCUCUUGGUAGGCAUUCAUUAUUUAAUCUACCCUUACAAGAGUUAUUAAAUCAAAUGCAAAACCUUUUCAGUUCUUGUGACAAUCCAGUGGCCAAGGCUAAUUUUUAAAGUAAUGCGAGAAAGCUGCGUCUUUGUUGGGAUCUGGCAGGUGCUAGUUUUAAGUGGACUUUAGUUAUUGCAAAGACAUAGUCAAAGUCCAGUUGACUUCCAGGAUUAUUCGAUAUAGUGAAAAUUUGAUCGCUGUGCUCUUUUGCCAAAUAGUAAAUGACUCGCCUGGGACAGAGCCGUAGCGGAGCUGUGGGGGGAAGAGUGCAAACGCUGACUCUCCAGCAGCGCUUCGCUCGCGUGUGCGGCGAUGGCUGGUGGUGAGCGCAGAGACAAGAACAUGAAAAUCAGACUCUCUUUAUUUAAAGUGUGUGAUUAUGGCCCCGGCUUGCUUGAAAUCUCUCCCUGAGAUGAAAUAAAACUCUUGCUAGUCUGUUUUCACUGUGUUUUGUUAAAUAUGCCCAGCUUCUCAGAAAACUUAAUAAUAAUGACUUUUAUUGCUCCCCUUGCAAAUGGACUGCCAUCUUUGCCAGAUAAAGAUUCAAGUGUUUAUGCCACAAAGGAAAUUAGUGAGUUAUACAUUUUGCUUAAGGACAGAUAUGAUAUUUGCCUGUUGGCUUUUUUUUUUUUUCUUCAGUGUUACCUCCACUUCUGUAAUUCUGGUCUCUUUUCCUUUGCAAAACCACAAAUUCCUAUUCAUUUUUUUUUUCCAAACUAGCAACGGGUUAAUCCAGUGUUAGAUUUUCAUUCUACAAAACCUUUAUUCUCAGAAGUAUUUUCUUACUUGAAUCAUUUUGUACAUCACGCUGCGUUCAUCCGAUCCAUAAAGUAAAAAAAGACUUGAUUAGUAUCAAUAACAAAAUAGCAUUUUGUUGUUAAAAUAUACGUUGAAACAGUCUCUUUUUUUUUUUUUUGUACAAAACAAGUACAACUUUCU